UACGUAGGUGGCAAGCGUUGUCCGGAAUUAUUGGGCGUAAAGCGCGCGCAGGCGGUCCUUUAAGUCUGAUGUGAAAGCCCACGGCUCAACCGUGGAGGGUCAUUGGAAACUGGGGGACUUGAGUGCAGGAGAGAAGAGUGGAAUUCCACGUGUAGCGGUGAAAUGCGUAGAGAUGUGGAGGAACACCAGUGGCGAAGGCGACUCUUUGGC
rnacentral:rRNA from 1 species